ensembl:snRNA U6 U6 spliceosomal RNA
GUGUUCGCUUUGACUGCACAUAUACUAAAAUUGGAAUGAUACAGAGAAGAUUAGCAUGGCCCCUGUGCAAGGAUGACAUGCAAAUUCAUGAAAUGUUCCGUAUUCUU